rnacentral:snRNA from 1 species
AGCUUUGCGCAGUGGUAAUAUCAUAGCCAAUGAGGUUUAUCCAAGGUGCGAUUAUUGCUAAUUGAAAAUAUAUGUUGUAGGAGACUUUUAAAAUUUCGUUUUAUUCAGAUGUACAAUCUUUGGAAGAAUAUGAUU